AUUGAACGCUGGCGGCAUGCCUUACACAUGCAAGUCGAACGGUAACAGGUCUUCGGAUGCUGACGAGUGGCGAACGGGUGAGUAUACAUCGGAACGUACCUAGUAGUGGGGGAUAACUACUCGAAAGAGUGGCUAAUACCGCAUGAGAUCUACGGAUGAAAGCAGGGGAUCGCAAGAUCUUGUGCUACUAGAGCGGCCGAUGGCCGAUUAGGUAGUUGGUGGGAUAAAAGCUUACCAAGCCGACGAUCUGUAGCUGGUCUGAGAGGACGAUCAGCCACACUGGGACUGAGACACGGCCCAGACUCCUACGGGAGGCAGCAGUGGGGAAUUUUGGACAAUGGGCGAAAGCCUGAUCCAGCAAUGCCGCGUGCAGGAUGAAGGCCUUCGGGUUGUAAACUGCUUUUGUACGGAACGAAAAGCCCCGGGUUAAUACCCUGGGGUCAUGACGGUACCGUAAGAAUAAGCACCGGCUAACUACGUGCCAGCCGCCGCAGUAA
rnacentral:rRNA from 1 species